UUUGRUUAAAAUUCUCGGUCUUUUAGUAUAUUUCAGCUACAAUUAUUACUAAUCUUCAACUUAAUACCUAUCAAACGGUUGUUCUUUCCGCGACCUUACCUCUUAUAAGAGCAAAGAGUACUCAUCUCAAGGUAGGCUUCCUACUUAUAUGCUUUCAGCAGUUAUCCUUUCCAUACGUAGCUACCCAGCACGUCCUAUUGGCAUAAGAACUGGUACACCAGAGRUAUGUCCUCUCCGGUCCUCUCGUACUAGGAGAAGAUCCCUUCAAUACUCUAACGCUCGCACCGGAUAUGGACCGAACUGUCUCACGACGUUCUGAACCCAGCUCACGUACCGCUUUAAUGGGCGAACAGCCCAACCCUUGGGACGUACUACCGCCCCAGGCUGCGAUGAGCCGACAUCGAGGUGCCAAACCUCCCCGUCGAUGUGAACUCUUGGGGGAGAUCAGCCUGUUAUCCCUAGAGUAACUUUUAUCGGUUAAGCGACGGCCUUUCCACUAAGAACCGUCGGAUCACUAAGGCCAACUUUCGUUCCUGCUCGACUUCUAGGUCUUACAGUUAAGCUCUCUUAUGCCUUUACACUCUUCGGUUAAUUUCCGUCUAACCUGAGAGAACCUUUGCACGCCUCCGUUACCUUUUAGGAGGCUACCGCCCCAGUAAAACUGCCCGCCUGAAACUGUCAAACAUUCUGAUUCAAGAACUGUCUUUAGAUUUCUAACUCUCCYAGAAUGGUAUCUCACUAACAGCUCAGAUAUUCCCGAAAGAAUUCUUCAAAGCCUCCCAUCUAUACUGCGCAAGAAGAGCCCGAAACCAAUUUCAAGUUACAGUAAAGCUUCAUAGGGUCUUUCUGUCCAAGUGCAAGUAGACCGCAUCUUCACAGUCAGUUCUAUUUCACCGAGUCUCUCUCUGAGACAGUACCCAGAUCGUUACGCCUUUCGUGCGGGUCGGAACUUACCCGACAAGGAAUUUCGCUACCUUAGGAUCGUUAUAGUUACGACCGCCGUUCACCGGGGCUUCAGUCAUCAGCUUCGCAUAACGCUAACCAUUUUCUUUAACCUUCCGGCACUGGGCAGGCGUCAGCCCCCAUACAUUAUCUUUCGACUUAGCGGAGACCUGUGUUUUUGAUAAACAGUCGCCUGGGUCUGGUUAUUGCAACCCUUCACAGGGCACCCCUUCUCCCGAAGUUACAGGGCUAUUUUGCCGAGUUCCUUAGAGAGAGUUAGCUCGCGCCCCUUAGUAUACUCUACUCACCCACCUGUGUCAGUUUAUAGUACAGGUACAAUUAUUACACGUUAUUGGAACUUUUCUAGGAAGUAUGGCAUCAACUGCUCGAAAUAUUUUUUAAGAAUAAAAAAUAAACUCGUAACUCACACUUUAGCUCAAGACAGUUUUUAUUCUAUCUAUCAUCACCUUACAUGCUUGAACCAAUAACCAACAUUUGGCCAGCUUAGCCUCCUCCGUCCUUCGUAACUAAAAUAAUAUGCAGUACAGGAAUAUUAACCUGUUAUCCAUCGACUACGCUUGUAAGCCUCAUCUUAGGUCCUGACUCACCCUCUGCGGACGAACCUUCCAGAGGAAACCUUAGGUUUUCGGGGCAUUGGAUUCCUACCAAUGUUUUCGUUACUCAAGCCGACAUUCUCACUUCUGCUUUGUCCAUACUUGCUUCCGCUAAUACUUCAAACUAGAGCAGAACGCUCUCCUACCGAUUUUCAUCCCGCAGCUUCGGCAAAUCACUUAGUCCCGUUCAUUUUCGGCGCAAAAGCGUUUGACCAGUGAGCUAUUACGCACUCUUCAAAGGAUAGCUGCUUCUAGGCAAACCUCCUGGUUGUCUUCACACUGAUACUUCCUUUACCACUUAGCGAUUAUUUUGGGGCCUUAGCUAGCGAUCUGGGUUGUUUCCCUCUCGACAAUGAAGCUUAUCCCCCACCGUCUCAUUGGCUAUUUGAAAAGCUUCUAGUAUUCAGAGUUUGCUACGAAUUGGUACCUAUUUCUAAGCCCUCAUCGAAACAGUGCUUUACCCCUAAAAACUCCAUAAAUAACCACUGCGCCUCAACGCAUUUCGGAGAGAUCCAGCUAGCUCCGAGUUCGACUGGAAUUUCUCCACUAAUCACAACUCAUCCCCCGAUUUUUCAACAUCGGUGGGUUCGGUCCUCCACUUAGUUUUACCUAAGCUUCAACCUGGUCAUAAUUAGAUCACCCGGGUUCGGGUCCAUAGAUAAGGACUUUCGCUCUAUUCAAACUCGCUUUCGCUUUGACUUCGAUUUAAUAAUCUUAAUCAAAAUUAGCCAUUACCUAUAAGUCGCCGGCACAUUCUUCAACAGGCACGCAGUCAGUCCUUAAAUAAACCUCCUACUGCUUGUAAGCUUAUCAUUUCAUGUUCUAUUUCACUCCCCUAAAGAGGUUCUUUUCACCUUUCCCUCACGGUACUAGUUCACUAUCGGUCAUUUAAAAAUAUUUAGUCUUACGAGGUGGUCCUCGUUGAUUCACACAGAAUUCCACGUGCUCUAUGCUACUCGGGAUACAGCAAACCUCUUUUGUUUUAAAUUACAGGACUAUCACCUUCUAAGGUAUUACUUUCAAUAAUUUCAUCUAACUAGGAAGGUUUAUCAGCUGUCCCACAACACCCUCACAAAAUAAGGAGAGUUUAGACURCUCUCGUUUCGCUCGCCGCUACUAAGAGAAUCGCUUUUGCUUUCUUUUCCUCCGGCUACUAAGAUGUUUCAGUUCACCGAGUAAUCUCUCUUUCGCAUAUGAAUUCAGCGAAAAGUUUAAAGGGUUUCCCCAUUCGGGAAUCUCCGGAUCAAAAUUYGUUUUCAACUCCCCGAAGCAUUUCGUCGAUGACAACGCCCUUCUUCGUAUUUAAAUGCCAAGGUAUCCAUGAUAAGCCCUUCUAUUUUUAA
rnacentral:rRNA from 1 species